UACGUGGGGUCCAAGCGUUGUCCGGAUUUAUUGGGCGUAAAGAGCUCGUAGGCGGUUCCGUAAGUCGGAUGUGAAAACUCAGGGCUCAACCCGGAGACGCCAUCUGAUACUGCGGUGACUGGAGUCUGGUAGGGGAUCACGGAAUACCUGGUGUAGCGGUGAAAUGCGCAGAUAUCAGGUGGAACACCGAUGGCGAAGGCAGUGAUCUGGGCCAGUACUGACGCUGAGGAGCGAAAGCGUGGGGAGCAAACAGG
rnacentral:misc_RNA from 1 species